GAUGAACGCUGGCGGCGUGCAUAACACAUUCAAGUCGAACGGUGAUGAGGACUUCGGUCCUCUGAUCAGUGGCGGACGGGUGAGUAACGCGUGAGCAACCUGCCCUUGUGUGGGGGAUAACGUCCGGAAACAGACGCUAAUACCGCAUAACGUGUCGGAACCGCAUGAUUCUGACACCAAAGAUUUAUUGCGCAAGGAUGGGCUCGCGUUGGAUUAGAUAGUUGGUGGGGUAACGGCCUACCAAGUCAACGAUCCAUAGCCGGACUGAGAGGUUGAACGGCCACAUUGGAACUGAGAAACGGUCCAGACUCCUACGGGAGGCAGCAGUGGGGAAUAUUGGGCAAUGGGCGAAAGCCUGACCCAGCGACGCCGCGUGAGGGAAGAAGGUCUUCGGAUUGUAAACCUCUGUUGUAAGGGAAGAAACAAAUGACGGUACCUUACGAGGAAGCCACGGCUAACUACGUGCCAGCCGCCGCGGUAACAC
rnacentral:rRNA from 1 species